AGCGAACGCUGGCGGCAGGCCUAACACAUGCAAGUCGAACGAACUCUUCGGAGUUAGUGGCGGACGGGUGAGUAACACGUGGGAACGUGCCUUUUGGUUCGGACUAACUCAGGGAAACUUGUGCUAAUACCGAAUGUGCCCUUCGGGGGAAAGAUUUAUCGCCAUUAGAGCGGCCCGCGUCUGAUUAGCUAGUUGGUGAGGUAACGGCUCACCAAGGCGACGAUCAGUAGCUGGUCUGAGAGGAUGACCAGCCACACUGGGACUGAGACACGGCCCAGACUCCUACGGGAGGCAGCAGUGGGGAAUCUUGCGCAAUGGGCGAAAGCCUGACGCAGCCAUGCCGCGUGAAUGAUGAAGGUCUUAGGAUUGUAAAAUUCUUUCACCGGGGACGAUAAUGACGGUACCCGGAGAAGAAGCCCCGGCUAACUUCGUG
rnacentral:rRNA from 1 species